rnacentral:rRNA from 1 species
AUGGCCGAGGCUCCGGCGGCGGGCCGCAGGGCAGAGGAGGCGGGGAGCCGGCCCCGCACGGAGGAGGAGGCGGAGGCGGCGGCCGCCGCCGACGGGGAUGGGGACAGCAGCGUCUACACCUCGAAGGACGAGGGCACGGAGGACUACUGCUGCGGCAGCUACCACGCCGUCCGCCCCAGCGACACCUUCAAGCGGGGCGCCUACAGGUAUGUGGCCCUCAAGGUGCAGAAGAGCGCACAACACUACAUGGAGCCUACCAUGGAUGAGAUCAAGAUCUUGAGGCAGAUUGCCGAUGGUGACCCUGAAGACUCCCGCCAUGUUGUCAAGCUUCUUGACCACUUCAAGCACUCAGGCCCCAACAGGAGCCAUGUCUGCAUGGUGUUUGAGUUUCUUGGUGACAACUUGUUGCUCACUCUGAUCAACUUCGAGCUGCUCACAGAUGCACAGAUGGACAAGGUGGUGAACCCGUUGUUUGAGAAGAGGCCGAAGCAGUUCGGCAUCGGUGGCACCCUGCCGCCCAAGAAGGACCUCCACCGGUUUGUCAAGUGGCCCAAGGUCAUGCGCAUCCAACGCCAGCGCCGCAUCCUCAAGCAGUGCCUCAAGGUGCCCCCGACGCUCCACCAGUUCACCCGCACCCUUGACAAGAACCUCGGUGUUUACCUCUCUAAGUUCCUGUUUAAACUUCUAAAUUUGAGCAGCUUUUCUUGUUCUGAGUUCCUUCAGGGAGAUGAAUCUGAAUUGGUGUUGACUCUUUGUCUCAAUUCAGUUUAA